UUAUAAGAGACAGCAGUAGCCACGGUAAUACAGAGGGUGCGAGCGUUAAUCGGAUUUACUGGGCGUAAAGCGUGCGUAGGCGGCUUUUUAAGUCGGAUGUGAAAUCCCUGAGCUUAACUUAGGAAUUGCAUUCGAUACUGGGAAGCUAGAGUAUGGGAGAGGAUGGUAGAAUUCCAGGUGUAGCGGUGAAAUGCGUAGAGAUCUGGAGGAAUACCGAUGGCGAAGGCAGCCAUCUGGCCUAAUACUGACGCUGAGGUACGAAAGCAUGGGGAGCAAACAGGAUUAGAUACCCGGGUAGUCCCUGUCUCUUAUAC
rnacentral:rRNA from 1 species